UGCCCCGGGGCGGCCACUGCGGCUGCGGUUCUCGGGCGGUGCCGGCUGCUGAUGCACUUUUUUUGUGUUGGGGGCGCGCGGUGCCGAGCUGCCGGGGGACCCCCAGACGGUUCCGCUUUCCCACAGGCUGGGUGGGGACGGGCUGAAUCCCGGGAGGGCAAACGGGCACCCCCUCGCGGGAGGAUGGACCAUUUUGUGGGAUUUUUCACUCCCCAAGCGCUGUGCUUUGUUUUCCCAGGAAGCAUUUCAGAGAUGAAACCUUGUGACGACGUUAACGAUCCAACUCCGUAGACGUGCGUCCUCCUCGUUUUACUUGGGGACACGGGCUUCGCGGCCGGGGGCGGGGGCGGCGUGCAGCACCUCCCAGGGUCGUCUCAUUUCUGCCCUUUCCCGCCGCUGGGUUGGGGCGCUCCUCCCCAUCCCCUAGAAGUCGGGCGCCUCACCACUUCAGAGGGAACGUUGUUCUUGAGGAGGUAAAACAGAGUCUGUGAUACAAGAAGGUAAGGUAGACGCGGCACAAAACGGCGGAGUGUGUUCUCCAAGCUCUCAGAAUCCACGGAGCGGUCAGGUUCUGAAGCAGGGGAAAAAAACAACAACCCAACAACAACAAAUGACACAAAUGCAAUGCUAGAAUUCGCGGUGGCUGGUUCUGUGCCGUGACUCUCAGCCUGGCUUCAGGCUUUCCUCCCGUCUGGCCCCAUGUUCCUCCCCGCGCCUCCAGCCCCCCAACCUGGCCAUCAAAACCUUCCUCUGGAAAAAACCAGAAGUAUCGGUUCCUCCUUUCCAAGCCUAAAUUAGGGGAACUGGAUGUCCAGAAGGAAACUUUCAAGAGGAAAAUGAAGAGUGUGCAUGUUAAAUCCUCAUCUUCUAGAGAUUCUGAAAUACUUAGAAAUGAAAUAUAUUAUGUCUGGAAUUGGUUUCCAAAUAUUGGGGGCCUGGGUGGAAGGGUGGGGAGGUGGACGGAACAAGAGGAGCUGUGAGUCGAUCGUUCUUGGCGUUGAUGAUGGGUCUAUGGCGGAAGCACUGUUCUACAAUGAAGUUUUAAAACCAAAGAGAAGAAGGACACUGGUCCCAUUGGACUAGGGCACCACCCUUAUGACCUCAAUUAUCUCCAAAUGCAGUCCCUUUGGGGUUGGUAAUUCCACAUACUUGAAAGCACACCAGCUUGAGAGGCACUGGCUGUAGAGGCUGAAGAGGAUGACGGGGCUCCCUGUGGGACACCUUCAUAAAUACUGAUUCUCUUGGCCAAACAUUCACUUCAUGCAUAAUGGUCCGCAGCAAGGUUAAAGUGCCAUUCCCUGACAUCGAUUUAAAAUGCAGCUCAUCUGCUCUUUGCUACAUCUACCAAAAGAAUGAAGACCAUUCUCAGCAAUCAGACUGUCGACAUUCCAGAAAAUGUUGAUGUGGCUCUGAAGGGCCCCGGUGGAACCUUCUGGAAAGACUUAACCACAUCAGUGCAGAACUCAGUCUCCUUGGAAAGGAAAAGAAGUGGCUCUGAGUUGACAAAUGAUGGAAAAUAGAAAAGAAUGGCUAUUGUGUGCACUAUGUGUAGUGCACAAAACAUGGUCAAGGGCGUUAUACUGGGCUUCCGGUUACAAGGUGAGGUCGUGUAUGCUCCCUUCCCCAUCAACAUCGUUACCCAGGAUAGUGGUUCUCUUGUUGAAAUACGAAAUUUCUUGGGUGAAAAUACAUCACCAGGGUUUGGAUGAGGCCAGGUGUGACCUGUUCUGUAUCUCAAGCCCAGAAUGAUGAGUUAAUGUUUGAAAGAAAUGACAUUGAACUUGUAUCAAACUCAGCUGCUUUGAUUCAGCAAGCCACAACCGUUAAAAACAAGGAUAUCAGAAAAUUUGGGGGUAGUAUCUAUGUUUCUGAGAAAGGAAUGAAUCAGCAGGCUGAUGAAUAAAAACUAAAUUGUCCAGCGGUAGAAACAGCAAGAUGCCGGAUGAUUUUUUCAGACUUAUUUGUGGUAUUUUAAAGAUGCAACAAAAGCUGUAUUGAUU